UACAGAGGGUGCAAGCGUUAAUCGGAAUUACUGGGCGUAAAGCGUGCGUAGACGGUUACAUAAGUCGGGUGUGAAAGCCCCGGGCUCAACCUGGGAAUUGCAUUCGAGACUGCGUAGCUAGGGUGCGGAAGAGGGAAGCGGAAUUUCCGGUGUAGCGGUGAAAUGCGUAGAGAUCGGGAGGAACACCAGUGGCGAAGGCGGCCAUCUGGAUCAACACUGACGCUGAGGCACGAAAGCGUGGGGAGCAAACAGG
rnacentral:rRNA from 1 species